rnacentral:rRNA from 1 species
CUCAAAGGAAUAGACGGGGACCCGCACAAGUGGUGGAGCAUGUGGUUUAAUUCGAAGAUACGCGAAGAACCUUACCUAGCCUUGACAUAUAUUAGAACAUUUUAGAGAUAGAAUGGUGCCUUCGGGAGCUUUUAUACAGGUGCUGCACGGCUGUCGUCAGCUCGUGUCGUGAGAUGUUGGGUUAAGUCCCGCAACGAGCGCAACCCUCGUCACUAGUUACUAACGGUUCGGCCGAGGACUCUAGUGAGACUGCCUUCGCAAGGAGGAGGAAGGUGAGGACGACGUCAAGUCAUCAUGGCCCUUACGGCUAGGGCAACACACGUGCUACAAUGGUUGGGACAAUGAGACGCAAUACCGCGAGGUGGAGCAAAUCUAUAAACCCAAUCUCAGUUCGGAUUGUUCUCUGCAACUCGAGAACAUGAAGCUGGAAUCACUAGUGAUCGUAGAUCAGCUAUGCUACGGUGAAUACGUUCCCGGGUCUUGUACUCACCGCCCGUCACACCAUGGGAGUUGAUUUCACCCGAAGCGGGGAAGCUAAACUGGCUACCCUCCACGGUGGAAUCAGCGACUGGGGUGAAGUCGUAACAAGGUAACC